CAAACCAUUUCGUGACUAGCACUCGAUUGUUCGCGACGUGUUAAUAUUGUAUUAUUAUUAAUUCCUUCUAUAAUUAAUAUUAUGGUCCAUCUAUGUCUCAAGCCCAUUAUACAUCAAUUAUUAACUACAAUAAGAAAUGGAUUAGAUGCAACGAUAUGUCAACAAGUAUUGAACGCUGGCCUCGAGGUGGAAAAGAUGUCUACAUUAUAAUUAUGGAAAAAAAAAAUUAGUCAGGAGGCCAGAGUAAUUUAUAAACGAGUCGCUCCCAUCUGGUCAUAAUGAAACAUGGCCGGUUUGGCGAACACUAAACAGACUCAGGACAGGAAUUGGACGAACGAAAGACAAUCUAAUAAAAUGGGGACUGCUAGAUAGUACAGACACCUUGUGCUUAUGUGGAGAAGUACAGACAAUGCAACACAUUAUCUCAUGCACAGAUUGCUCACAAACCUGCACCCUAGAAGACAUUCACAAAGGCACAAUCCAAGGAAUUAACGUAGCCCGCAUCUGGGCAGAAAUAAUAUAAAUCCACCAAUAACCUUAUUUAUUAAUAUUAUGUACUAUAAUGCGUCUGACACGAAAAAAAAAAUAGUAAUUUAUUUGCUAUUAUAGUAAUACGGUGUGAUUAAAUUCAUUUUUGUCAAAAACAUUGCAUUUAUUGUAUUUAUAUUU